CCUACGGGCGGCAGCAGUGGGGAAUAUUGGACAAUGGGCGAAAGCCUGAUCCAGCCAUGCCGCGUGUGUGAAGAAGGCCUUCGGGUUGUAAAGCACUUUCAGUGGGGAAGAAAGCCUUGGGGCUAAUACCCUCGAGGAAGGACAUCACCCACAGAAGAAGCACCGGCUAACUCCGUGCCAGCAGCCGCGGUAAUACGGAGGGUGCGAGCGUUAAUCGGAAUUACUGGGCGUAAAGCGCGCGUAGGCGGUCUGAUAAGCCGGUUGUGAAAGCCCCGGGCUCAACCUGGGAACGGCAUCCGGAACUGUCAGGCUAGAGUGCAGGAGAGGAUGGUAGAAUUCCCGGUGUAGCGGUGAAAUGCGUAGAGAUCGGGAGGAAUACCAGUGGCGAAGGCGGCCUUCUGGACUGACACUGACGCUGAGGUGCGAAAGCGUGGGUAGCAAACAGGAUUAGAUACCCCGGUAGUC
rnacentral:rRNA from 1 species